CGCUGUGCAGAGCCACAAGUGGGGAAACCCUCCCCACACCUCGACUAAAUUGUGAAAAAUGCUUUUUAAAAAACCAAACAUUCCUUGUUUCAAGCCAUCCACUUUUCCAUUUAGUCGUUUUCAGGGAGGUUUUGUACAAGGAAUAGUUGUUUGUGCCGCCGAAUUCCAAGGUAGUGUGGUAUACAAGUUGCAUGUUGGGAUCUUGACUAAUUUCUUUGGAAACUGGCUGAACAUACUACUAAUGUAUAGCAGUACCACAAAAACUUGAUUUUUGUGCAUAAGAAUCAAUAGGAAAAUUUGUAUUUCUCUUACGAUGAAAAGUGGUUAAAAAAAUGAAUAUCAUUAGUAUUUCAGUAAAGCUUGGGGGGAGAU
rnacentral:lncRNA from 1 species